UACCAGCACCCCGAGUGGUCGCGACGUUUAUUGGGCCUAAAGCAUCCGUAGCCGGUUCUACAAGUCUUCCGUUAAAUCCAACUGCUUAACAGGUGGGCUGCGGAAGAUACUAUAGAGCUAGGAGGCGGGAGAGGCAAGCGGUACUCGAUGGGUAGGGGUAAAAUCCGUUGAUCCAUUGAAGACCACCAGUGGCGAAGGCGGCUUGCCAGAACGCGCUCGACGGUGAGGGAUGAAAGCUGGGGGAGCAAACCGG
rnacentral:rRNA from 1 species